ACCUACGGGGUGCAGCAGUAGGGAAUUUUCGUCAAUGGGCGCAAGCCUGAACGAGCGAUGCCGCGUGAACGAGGAAGGUCUUCGGAUCGUAAAGUUCUGUUGAAGGGGAAAAAGAGCGGAGAGAGGAAAUGGUCUCCGAUUGAUAUUACCCUUCGAGGAAGUCACGGCUAACUACGUGCCAGCAGCCGCGGUAAUACGUAGGUGGCGAGCGUUAUCCGGAAUGAUUGGGCGUAAAGGGUGCGUAGGCGGCCUGCUAAGUCUGGAGUGAAAGGUACCGGCUCAACCGGUACAGGCUCUGGAAACUG
rnacentral:rRNA from 1 species